rnacentral:tRNA from 1 species
GGAGAGGUGCUGGAGUGGUCUAACAGGCACGCCUGGAGAGCGUGUGUCGUCUUACUGACGACCGUGGGUUCGAAUCCCACCCUCUCCGCCA